UCUUUGUUAGUAUAUCGGUUAGUACACGCGCUUGUCAUAUAAUCAUCAAUAAGAGCGUUGCGCGCGAAAGCUGGGUUCGACUCCCAGACAGAGAG